UACGGGGGGGGCAAGCGUUGUUCGGAAUUACUGGGCGUAAAGGGCUCGUAGGCGGCCUACUAAGUCGGACGUGAAAUCCCUCGGCUUAACCGGGGAACUGCGUCCGAUACUGGAUGGCUCGAGUAUGGGAGAGGGAUGCGGAAUUCCAGGUGUAGCGGUGAAAUGCGUAGAUAUCUGGAGGAACACCGGUGGCGAAGGCGGCAUCCUGGACCAUUACUGACGCUGAAUAGCGAAAGCCAGGGGAGCAAACGGG
rnacentral:rRNA from 1 species